UACGAAGGGGGCUAGCGUUGCUCGGAAUUACUGGGCGUAAAGGGAGCGUAGGCGGAUAGUUUAGUCAGAGGUGAAAGCCCAGGGCUCAACCUUGGAAUUGCCUUUGAUACUGGCUAUCUUGAGUAUGGAAGAGGUAUGUGGAACUCCGAGUGUAGAGGUGAAAUUCGUAGAUAUUCGGAAGAACACCAGUGGCGAAGGCGACGUACUGGUCCAUUACUGACGCUGAGGCUCGAAAGCGUGGGGAGCAAACAGG
rnacentral:rRNA from 1 species